GACGAACGCUGGCGGCGUGCCUAACACAUGCAAGUCGAACGAGGUUGCGUGAAGCACAGAGUGCUUUGGAGAAGCGGAGCACUGUGUGCUUUGCGCAGCUUAGUGGCGGACGGGUGAGUAACGCGUGAGCAAUCUGCCUUUCGGAGGGGGAUACCGGCUGGAAACGGUCGUUAAUACCGCAUAACGUAUAGAGAUGGCAUCGUCUUUAUACCAAAGGAGCAAUCCGCCGAAAGAUGAGCUCGCGUCUGAUUAGCUAGUUGGUGAGGUAACGGCCCACCAAGGCUGCGAUCAGUAGCCGGACUGAGAGGUUGAACGGCCACAUUGGGACUGAGAUACGGCCCAGACUCCUACGGGAGGCAGCAGUGGGGAAUAUUGGGCAAUGGGGGAAACCCUGACCCAGCAACGCCGCGUGAAGGAAGAAGGCCCUCGGGUUGUAAACUUCUUUGACCAGGGAAGAAAGAAAUGACGGUACCUGGAAAACAAGCCACGGCUAACUACGUG
rnacentral:rRNA from 1 species